UGGAAUAGGAAUGUUCACGAUCGAUAUUUAAUAUGAAAGUUUGAAUCACGUGCGCGAACGUCCAGAGAUUACUUGGGCUUCUUGGAAGUCUUGAGAAGCGCCUCAACGUAAACAACAAGAAACGGCCGGGGGCAUUGGAGGUAACUCAAGGAUAUAGGCUAAGAGAGAGAAGAGCUUUCAUUCCAGCGUUGUACUCGGACGCGUUAACAUAGUCGAUUGUCACUCCCUCGACAGAUGUCGUCCUUCAGUAUUAAAGCCCAGUACCCGGACAAUGGAAGUCGAUUUGCUAUAAGACCAGUUUACCAAAGUCAGGGUAAACGAUUCUGCGAUGAAACUACGAAAAAUCUUCUACUCCCAAUAAUUAACUCUUGUGAAUAUUUUUUUAUGGAUUAAAUACAACAGGCGAUAAUCGGUCAGGUCGAUAAGCGAAAUACCACCGUCCGUGUGUUGUCAGCACGUCGGAAGGAUCGUAUCGGACGUAGAAACGAUGGACUGUGAAAAAUCUCGACUGGAAAUGUUUCCAGCCACGCCGGAGAGAGAUACUGGACCACCGAAAGGGAUAAUAUCUACUGAGAGAUAAGGACGGACGAACGAACGAACGAAUGAACGCAUCGCUUCCGGGCAUUACGACUACGGUACAACCAUAAGACGCGAACGUUAACUCCGUUUCCAAAGCAACGAUUUUCACGCUCGGUAUCGUCCUCGUCCCUUUUCAUGACACUUUUUUCAUCCCUAUCUCUAUCUCUAUCUCUCACUCUCUCUCUCAUUCUCUCUCUCUCUCUCUCUCUCUCUUUCUCUCUUUUUUCUCUCUCUUUCUAGUCGUUUUCAUGGCCGGUACUUGAGAUAAUGAAUGCUUACAACAUUAAUGCAAAAUCCUUACUGCAUUACUUCGUUCUUAUUAUCGUUGAAAUUAUUUUGUUUUUAUUUAUUUCGAUAAAAGUUUCGAUAUUUUUUUUUUUUUUUUUUUUUUUUUUUAAAUAUCUCUGAAAGAGAUAAUCGAGCAUGGUAGUAGAUGGCCCAAAUAAAUCAGUACGUAAUAAGAUUAUUGGUGCAUGUACGGGGGUGUAGUAGAACGAACGCUCGUGGUCAGCCAGGUGGAAUGUUCGAUGGCAAAGGGUUAAUGUGUGCCACUUCGCUUCCAAACUUCAGAAACUGUAAGGGCUAGUGAACCCAUUAGCGAUUAGUCUUCGUUUCAAAGGGUCUUUCAACCGUAUAAGAACGUCUAUUCACUAAUAUCUAUAAUUUUAAAUGGAUAUGUCACGAUCGAGAUAUCUAUCAAACAUUUCGAUAUAUCGAUUUCUCUUCAAACGUAAAAAUCUAACUAAUGAAAGUCGAUCAAUUAAAUAAGAUCGAUCGAGAGGAAAAAGAUUAUAAUUUUGAUCGUCGAUUAAUUUGAUUUCCUUCGAUCUUACCAAUGCACUUUUAGUUUUUUCUUAAACGUUACCGGAAAAUUUCACCCUCGCUAAUCGCCAACAGACGGAUAACAUCGGGAACAAGGAUAGGAGAAACGGAACGUCGAUCUUUGAUUUAUGAGCGAACGUUGGCGGCUGCCGGAAGUCGGCCGCUGUUAAAUUAAAAUCAAUAGCCGCAAUAUCAGAAACGGUUUAUAUCGUUUCAUUAACUAAAAUCAAGAAUCAUCAUUGAAUAAAAAUAUCCGACGGAUUCAGAACGUACGACCCGCAACAUUGGUUAAUUGUAAUUUAUUGUACCAACUAAUUACUAUCUCUCUCUCUCUCUCUCUCUCUUUCUCUCUCUCUUUUUCUCUUUCUUUCUCUCUUUCUCUCUUUAUUUUUCUUCGCUUUUUAUUGAGUACUAUCUUCUAAUAGUAACAUGGACUUAAACGAUAUUUCAAUGAGAGAGUCUCUAUGCACCACAUCUCUCAGCAAUAUUUUUUAUUUCUUUUCCUCUUUUUCUUCCUUUUUCUCUUCUUUUUUCGUUUUUUUCUUUUAGACAAGUUUUACGAUGAUCUUGCAGAAAGACGCAAUGGGUCACCGUGCUGGUGACGGAAAUUUAUUCGAAGACGCUAUUACAGCAGCGUUUCGUUUGCAAGGAAAAAUAGUAAAAGAGAGAGAGAGAGAGAGAGAGAGAGAGAGAGAGAGAGCUCGAAAAUUUAUUCUCGUGGUAAUUCGAUCAUGGCGUAUGUGAUGUUUUUAAAAAUCAUUAUUACUUAUAUAGCAUUUUGAUGUAACAUAAAAAACAUAAAUUAAUUAUAUAUAUAAAUAAAUAUUCUUAUUGUAGAAGUAAAG